AAGUCGUAACAAGGUUUCCGUAGGUGAACCUGCGGAAGGAUCAUUACCGAAUUGUUAACAAGAGUUGUUGAUGGCCCCUGUAUGGGGGCAUGUGCACGCUCUGUUUACACAUCCACUCACACCUGUGCACCCUCUGUAGUUCUAUGGCCUGGGGGGCUCUGUCCUCCUGCUGUGGUUCUAUGUCUUUACACACACACUGUAAUAAAGUCUCAUGGAAUGUAUGUCGCGUUUAACGCAAUGAAAUACAACUUUCAGCAACGGAUCUCUUGGCUCUC
rnacentral:misc_RNA from 1 species